rnacentral:rRNA from 1 species
CUGCGGAAGGAUCAUUAAUAGUGCCCUCUGAUGCAAAUCAUUGGGUUAGAUCUGCUCUCUUCGCAAGAAGAGGGUUUCCAUACACACCGUGAACUGUGGCUUCGGCCAUCACAAACUGUUAGUAAUGAAUGUAAUAUCAUAACAAAAACAAAACUUUUAACAACGGAUCUCUUGGCUCUCGCAUCGAUGAAGAACGCAGCGAAAUGCGAUAAGUAAUGUGAAUUGCAGAAUUCAGUGAAUCAUCGAAUCUUUGAACGCACCUUGCGCCCUUUGGUAUUCCGAAGGGCAUGCCUGUUUGAGUGUCAUGAAACCUCACCCCACUUGGGUUUUUGCCUGAGCGGUGGUGUAUUGGGUGUUGCCUUGCUAAAGGCUCGCCUUAAAGACAUAAGCACCUUGGAUGUAAUACGUUUCAUCCUUCUGGGUGGCUGAUAACCCCACAUAUUCAUGAUCUGGCCUCAAAUCAGGUAGGGCUACCCGCUGAACUUAAGCAUAUCAAAAGCCGG